CUGAACUAACAUACAGUAUAUGAUCACAGAUCCAGCAGAAACUGAAGUCUGUAGGACUGUUGGAUCAUUAUUCAGAGAGAUUUUGAUCAUUCUUAAGACUGCAGUGUUUGCUGCUCCUACUGUGAUUCUUCUUCAGAUCAUCUGUGCAAGAAGAGCUGGGAGGAAGGACUCGCAGCACCCAGAGGAAAUAGAGAUUAAUACAAUAUCAGGAUAAAAUACUCUACAAAUAACAGGCCAGAUUACAGCAAGAUUUAUCUUCAUAUCAAUUAAUUUUACGGAUAUUUGCAUACAGUUUUGAAGGAUCUUUUCCAGUGCUCCAUACUGUACUGAAUACAUAAAAUAUAAUAUUAAAUCCUUACUUAUGAAAAUUAUAUGAAUGAUUGUCUU